GCCGCUGUAGCUCAGUUGGUAGAGCAACGCUUUCGUAAAGCGUGGGUCGUCGGUUCAAGUCCGGCCAGCGGCU
rnacentral:tRNA from 1 species